UCAGUUUGUGGGUGUCUCAGCCACCAGGGAAGCCUCCCAGCUAUUACCCAACCAUGUUGACGGGAAAAGUGUAAGAAACGCUGUUUGCUUCUGAGUGAGGCUUGCUAAGCCCUACCAGAGAAGCCAGACAGGCGAGGUGGCCUUCAGCUGAGGUACAGGGGUGGGGGGACGAAUGUGCAGAGGAAGGGGUCCUGGGUUAAGAGGACGUCUGGUUCUGUGGGGUUUCGGAAUCUCUUGGGGCUCUCCUCAAACAGGAGAGAGAAGGUGCGUGUGGGAGGAAAAUGCAGAGUAAGGGACACCCAGAUCCAGGGAGGCUCAUUGCUGUCUCCUGCCGGCAUCUAACCCCCUCCCUGGUGCAUUCUCUUGUUUCCUCAGCAGUAAUGGGGGAGCCUGACUUCUCUGAAAGGGCCCCUCCUCCAGUUGCAUCUUUGUCAGCUCUAUCUGCUUCCUCCCAGUGUUAAGGCCCCCUCCCUCCCAAGCCAUCGGAGCAUGAGGAAGCCUUGGUUCCACACAGCUGGGCUUCUUGCUCACAGGCUAACACAGAUGCCCUUUGCCCUUGUGAAGUAGGUGGGAAGUUGCAGAAGCUGAAACGGAGCCUGUGGCUGGGCACCAGCCCCUGGAAUAGAGGAACUUUCACUGAGAGCAAGCUGGACGUUGGGGCUGCCUACAGAGGGAACAAGAAAUUGAGGCCUCUCCCUAAUGCCCCCAAGAAACUGAAUUCUGCCAACCACCUCAUGAGCUUGCAAGCAGAUUCCUCCCCAGUCAAGCCUCAGAUGAGACCUCAGCCCUAGCCAACACCUUGAUGGCAGCCCUGCAGAAGUCCCAGUCCAGGAUGUCCAGACUUCUGUGAGAAACUGUGAUGUAAUAAAUGUGUACUGCUUUAA